rnacentral:sRNA from 1 species
CCCAGGCUGGCUAAGUAUAAAAGCUGAAAAAACUAGAUCUAGCAGCUGCGCCGGAGUCCUCUUGAUAUUUCGUUGUUUGAUCUAUUUCUUAGAUACAAAUCAAGUAAUUUGUCUAUUUCUGUCCAGUACUGCAUAAAAUGUCUGGAAAAGACGGCAACAAAAAAGGUGGGCAAACUAAGAAGGAUGACAAGAAAACUGAUAGCUCCAAAGCAGGAGAGAAAGGAGGCAAAAAAGAUUCCAAGAAAUAACCAAACGCCCAUUGGAUACAAUUCAUUCAAUCAUUCAUACUGUUCAUAGUCAGUUGCCACCAUGAUCAUUUUAUUUCUGCAGAUGUUGCUUUACACAAGUGUUGUUCAGGGUCUGCACAGUGAAAUUCUUUUUUUAUUCAAGAUCAAUUGACAUUAAAAUGUUUUAAAUGUA